rnacentral:tRNA from 1 species
CCUCUCAUAGCUUAGUGGUGAAAGCAUUGGUGAGUAAAACCAAAGGUCCCGGGUUCGGCUCCCGGCGGGGGUG